UGUCUUGCCUUGCCAUCAAGUUUCUGCAGAAUAACAAAAAAAAUUUCAGGAAAUGUGGCAACCCUCUAUGUAACAAGAAACUUGAAGAAAACAAUUGAUCCAAUGGUUAGAGAGUCUAUAUGGCAACAAACAAUUGUUAACCAACAUUAAUUCUGCAGUCCCCACAAAAUGUUAUAAUUCUUUCUUCCCAUGCCCCUUUGAGAAUAGGAUGUUGCCAAAUAGAAUUGUGGAUUGGAUUUGUAAUCAGAUAAAAGAUUUGAAUUUUAGAAUUUAAGCAAAAACCAAAUGAAUUUAGCUGUACAAGAUAAAACUUUUACCAAGAGCAUAAUAUCUAUUAGAAGUAUUUUAUAGGAAAUGGACAAGCUUACUUUUCCAUGCGGC
rnacentral:misc_RNA from 1 species